rnacentral:lncRNA from 1 species
UCAUCUAACAACAUUACUUGGCCACAUAAAUUUACACUGCAAAUGUCAUGGCUCAACACUCUUCUUCUAAACAGUUAGCUGAUCAUGGAUGCACUGAAUAAACGUGCAGUAACCUUUUGCAAAGAGCUAUAUCGUUGGGCUUGGGAGUGACAAUUCGAAUGCAGCUUUGAUUGCAACUGCACUAAAUUGGAAGUUAGUUCUUCCCAUUGCCUACCUUGGCCUUCCUCUUUGUAGCUCC